GCAAGUCGAGGGGUAACGAUGUCUUCGGACAGGCGACGACCGGCGCACGGGGAGNAUCGCGUUUGUAACCUACCUUUAACUGGAGAAUAGCCCGAAGAAAUUCGGAUUAAUACUCCAUAACACUAUGAACUGGCAUCUUUUUAUAGUUAAAGCUCCGGCGGUUAAAGAUGGGCAUGCGUGACAUUAGAUUGUUGGUGAGGUAACGGCUCACCAAGUCUACGAUGUCUAGGGGGUCUGAGAGGAUGGUCCCCCACACUGGUACUGAGACACGGACCAGACUCCUACGGGAGGCAGCAGUGAGGAAUAUUGGUCAAUGGGCGAAAGCCUGAACCAGCCAUGCCGCGUGAAGGAUGACAGCGCUACGCGUUGUAAACUUCUUUUGUACAGGAAGAAACGCUUCUACGUGUAGAAGUUUGACGGUACUGUACGAAUAAGCAUCGGCUAACUCCGUGCCAGCAGCCGCGGUAAUACGGAGGAUGCAAGCGUUAUCCGGAUUUAUUGGGUUUAAAGGGUACGUAGGCGGAAACUUAAGUCAGUAGUGAAAUCCUGCAGCUUAACUGUAGAACUGUUAUUGAUACUGGGUUUCUUGAAUAUAGUUGAGGUAGGCGGAAUGUGUAAUGUAGCGGUGAAAUGCUUAGAUAUUACACAGAACACCGAUUGCGAAGGCAGCUUACUAAGCUAUGAUUGACGCUGAGGUAC
rnacentral:rRNA from 1 species